rnacentral:pre_miRNA from 1 species
AUCUUCUAGGGAUCUUCUUUAAAUGCUGAUUCUGAUUCAGCUUAUCUGGGGUGGAGCCCAAGAAUCUGUAUUUCUAAGAAGUUCCUAGGAGAUGCUGA